GAAGAACCGUGCAAACGGUGUUCGGAAUCACUGGGCAUAAAGGGCGCGUAGGCGGGCCGUCAAGUCAGGGGUGAAAUCCCCCAGCUCAACUGGGGAACUGCCCUUGAUACUGACGGUCUUGAGUGAGGUAGGGGUGUGCGGAACUGAUGGUGGAGCGGUGAAAUGUGUUGAUAUCAUCAGGAACUCCGGUGGCGAAGGCGGCACACUGGACCUUGACUGACGCUGAGGCGCGAAAGCUAGGGGAGCAAACAGG
rnacentral:rRNA from 1 species